AUUGAACGCUAGCGGCAGGCUUUACACAUGCAAGUCGAACGGAGUGGCGGACGGGUGAGUAAUAUAUCGGAACGUGCCUAGUAGCGGGGGAUAACUACUCGAAAGAGUUGCUAAUACCGCCUACAUUAGGAUCGGCCGAUAUCGGAUUAGCUAGUUGGUGGGGUAAAGGCUCACCAAGACCACGAUCCGUAGCUGGUUUGAGAGGAUGACCAGCCACACUGGGACUGAGACACGGCCCAGACUCCUACGGGAGGCAGCAGUGGGGAAUUUUGGACAAUGGGGGAAACCCUGAUCCAGCCAUCCCGCGUGUAUGAUGAAGGCCUUCGGGUUGUAAAGUACUUUUGGCAGAGAAGCGUUAUCUGCAGAAUAAGCACCGGCUAACUACGUGCCAGCAGCCGCGGUAAUUC
rnacentral:rRNA from 1 species